rnacentral:lncRNA from 1 species
AAACAGCAUCCCCAUUUGUCACGGUCACUUCAAGUAUCAUUGGACUUGUUGGAUCAUAAGGACCAAGUAGUAGCUUGCCUUGUACUGCAGCCUAAACUUGCUUCUCUUGCUAUGGUCCCUACUUGAAAGUGGCAACCUUACAGGUGACGUGGAGUGAAUCAGCUCUUCUUUCAUCUUGGAAGUAAUAUCUUGACAUGCUGCAAACCAAUGAACCAUCAGAAACUUCACCGAGGUUUCAAACACUUGUACUAUGUGCACUACAACUAUGGACAGAGUGACUACUGGCAGAAAUGAACCCAUGUGAGAAUUCUGGGAUCGAAGAGAACAAGGAGCUAAAGGAAGUCAGUUGGAUGAUGUAGGAGGGAGGCUCCUGUUUUUCUGACAUCACUGCCAGAUGAAGCACCAAAUAAUUAGAAAGCUUUCACUCCAUUUGCCUUGGAUAGAUUUAAAGGCUAGGCACAGUCAUUUGUGUUAGUUAAAAUCUCUGAAACCUUAAAAAUAAAUAAAUAAAUAAAUAAAAUCA